GUGGGUGGCCAGGGCUGCCUCCAUUUUUUGUCCCCCCUUGGCAAGUUCCAGCCUGCAGACCCCACACACGCUCUCCUUCUCCGGAACAGGCACCCCAUGGUGCCUGCUCAAAAUCUGGAGUACUUUGGCUACGAAAUUCUCAGGGGUUUUCCGCAGAAAACUUGGAAAACUCAAGCGAGUGUUCCCUGAGGACGUGUCGGCCGCCCUACCCAAGGGUGGCUCGUGGCACCUCCAGAGUGCCAACACAGCCCCUCAGACAUCAGCAGUCACACUCUAAGCCAUAAAACUGUCACAUUUGGUAUUCUACCUGUAUCACAAGCAAGGGGCUGGGAGCAAGUGCUGGAGAGGAGGUACAGGAACAGCUCUGCAGAAACAGGAAUAGCUAGGGAAGGAUUACCUCCAAAAGGAUUAUCUUUUAAACAAAGAAAAAUUUGGUAUACUGCAAACAACUAACUCAAAUCAAAAGAAACAGAUUAAUCCAACAGGAUUAACAGCCUCACAUACAGGUCAGCCCCCACUCUAAUCCAGAGGUGAAACCGAAUUCAGCAGCAGCCACAAACCUUGCCUCCUGAUGAUAUGAAAGAUUAUCAACUCUGGCAGAACCAGAAGGAAAGCCUAAGCUUCUAAACCUGCCCCUUUUGGAUGUGUGGGACACAAAUCCUCGUUGUUUCGGAAUGUAGAUAAAACACAGUAUAAAAGCAAGAGUGUAAGGGAUGGACAGAGGUAUUUCUUAUUGCUUCCUGAUGAGUAAAGGAGAAGUGAUACCUCAAACCAUGUCCUGCUCCAAGACAAGGGUAGAUGGCAAGACACACAGAAUAAAUUAAAUAUUCUACAAACACCCUUGACUCAACAUCCAAUUUCAGCUCUACCAUUUGCAGCCAGCUUUCCCUGACACUGCAGUAAAAAUCCACCAGAAAGUUGGAUUUUCCAUCAAAGUACUACACCCAAGAUCCAUGAUUUUUAAAAGCAACAUAUACCAUUAAUACUGUUAUCUUACAGUGACUCAAAAAGUACCUCUAUAUUACCCAAAAUGCAAUGUUCUUUACAGAAAUAAAUGAGCAGUUUCAUAUCCAGCAUAGCUGACCAUAUCAAAUCCAAGUAAACUGCAAGCCAAGUUAGUUAUCCAUCCUAGGACUAGUUGUUCCUACACUCACUGAGGGAAUGAAUCAAGACCAGGAUCUAGAGAGAUGUUCUUGAGUAUUUUUUCUGAUCCAACUCUGGUUCUAAUACUCUGGAAGAUUAGAUGGAGGAAAAUGAGGGAAACUGUUUCAGAAACACAGUAAUUUGGGGCCAUUUUAAAAGAAAUGCCUGUUUGGAGAUACAGAAAGUUUGGAGCAACAGGCACAAAAUGGAAAAUUUUAAAAAAGAGCAACACAAUCAUCCAUAUGUGAUGGGACAUCUCUUGGCUGUCCUCUUUAAGGUGCUAGCAGGGAACAAAUAUUGCCAUAUAUAAACUGCCUUUGACAAAGAUAUAAUGGUAGUAGUGAUAAAUGUGUGCAGACAUAUUGUAAGAAGGCCACUGAAUGUCAAUCUUCCUGUAUUUACCUGUUCUUGCCCUCACUGACAUUCACUAUUAAACAAAGAAACAAAAUAAAAACAGCCCCUUGUAUUUUCACAGCAGUUUCCAAAGGCCUCCUGCAACAGGUAACAUCACCUUCCCUGCAGUAACAAGUGUUUAUCUGCGACAGAAAUCACCACAGCUCCUAUCGGAAGAAAAUAAAAGUAACAAAGUGUCAUCUACUGCCACGAGCCUGCUAUUCCAGCUUAUUUUUUGGCACUGUAGAAUACACCUACAAUUACUAUUCUAAUUCUUGCAGGAGUCAAACUCUAGGAUUUCUGUUAUUAUGUUUCAAAGACUCGAGACACAAAGCUAAAACCUGUUGUACCUCACUGUAACCAAAGUUUUCACUGCUAAAAAAAGUUUCUUGGGAUACCCAGCCAACAUCCCCACUGCAAACUCUCAUUCAAUGGCUUCUCAGAGAAUUAUGUUUCUCUCAUUAAGUUCUCCUGACAAUGUUCAUCUUUCCAAUAUGUUCUAAAACUUCUUAAUAGCAUACAAUAUAAGUCAGCACCACACACUUCUCUAUAGAAACAGCAAAAACAGUUCAAACAGAUUUUUGGCUGCAGUGCAU